rnacentral:rRNA from 1 species
CGCUGGCGGCGUGCCUAAUACAUGCAAGUCGCACGGACACCUUCGGGUGUCAGUGGCGGACGGGUGAGUAACACGUGGGUAACCUGCCUCACAGCCUGGGAUAACGCCUGGAAACGGGUGCUAAUCCCGGAUAGAUUCUUACGCCGCAUGGUGUAGGGAGGAAAGCUGCCGCAAUGCAGCACUGAGAGAUGGGCCCGCGGCGCAUUAGCUAGUUGGUGAGGUAACGGCCCACCAAGGCAACGAUGCGUAGCCGACCUGAGAGGGUGACCGGCCACACUGGGACUGAGACACGGCCCAGACUCCUACGGGAGGCAGCAGUAGGGAAUCUUCCGCAAUGGGCGCAAGCCUGACGGAGCAACGCCGCGUGAGUGAAGACGGUCUUCGGAUUGUAAAGCUCUGUUGCCAGAGACGAGCGGAUAGGAGAGGGAAUGCUCCUAUCGAGACGGUAUCUGGUCAGAAAGCCCCGGCUAACUACGUGCCAGCAGCCGCGGUAAUACGUAGGGGGGCAAGCGUUGUCCCGGAAUGACUGGGGCGUAAAGCGCGCGCAGGCGGUCUAUCACGUCUGGGGUG